GAUGAAGAAAGCAGCGAAAUGCGAUAAGUGAUGUGAAUUGCAGAAUUCAGUGAAUCAUCGAAUCUUUGAACGCACAUUGCGCCCUCUGGUAUUCCGGGGGGCAUGCCUGUUCGAGCGUCAUUAUAACCACUCAAGCUCUCGCUUGGUAUUGGGGUUCGCGGUUUCGCGGCCCCUAAAAUCAGUGGCGGUGCCUGUCGGCUCUACGCGUAGUAAUACUUCUCGCGAUUGAGUUCGAUAGGUCUACUUGCCAGUAACCCCCAAUUUUUACAGGUUGACCUCGGAUCAGGUAGGGAUACCCGCUGAACUUAAGCAUAUCAAUAAGCGGAGGA
rnacentral:misc_RNA from 1 species